rnacentral:rRNA from 1 species
UGAGGAAUAUUGGACAAUGGAUGGAAAUCUGAUCCAGCCAUGCCGCGUGAAGGACGACGGUCCUAUGGAUUGUAAACUUCUUUUGUAUGGGAGCAAUAAGGUCUACGUGUAGAUCGAUGAGAGUACCAUACGAAUAAGCAUCGGCUAACUCCGUGCCAGUAGCCGCGGUAAUACGGAGGAUGCGAGCGUUAUCCGGAUUUAUUGGGUUUAAAGGGUGCGUAGGCGGUUGUAUAAGUCAGCGGUGAAAUUUUCCGGCUUAACCGGGGGACGGCCGUUGAUACUGUAAAGCUUGAAUCCGGUUGCUGUGAGUGAAAUGGGUGGUGUGGCGGUGAAAUGCAUAGUUAUCACACAGAAGAUCGAUUGCGAAGGCAGCUCACAAAGCCGUUAUUGACGCUGAUGCACGAAAG